GUGGCCUGGAUUCCAGACGGACAGAACAACCAAUGGGGUGUGAAGUUCCUUUCCUCAUUAGAGAGGACGUUGGAGUGCCUUCGUUCCCUCCAUCUUCAUUUUAGCUGGCAUCUCACCUACAACCUCCUUCAGGAUCCCUGGGAGUCCCCAGCACCCCGGUUUGGCAAGCACCCGUGUAGGAUGUGUCAACUGACCCCAAAUCCCAUUGAGCUGCGGGCUAUUAUGCAACACUCAGAGCUGCUCGCGAAUGCCAAUUACGGCCUCGAAACUCAAUGGGGCGAGGUGGAGGGAGCUUGAGCAGCAAAUGUUGCAGUGCCGUGUCCAGAGGGGACGCGCCUCACAUGAGAACACCGGCAGGGAGACUCACCAGCGACCGCUGAAUGCAGAAGGAUCUCCCGCUGAUGAGAAG